UGGGGAAUAUUGGACAAUGGGCGCAAGCCUGAUCCAGCCAUGCCGCGUGAGUGAUGAAGGCCCUAGGGUUGUAAAGCUCUUUCACCGGUGAAGAUAAUGACGGUAACCGGAGAAGAAGCCCCGGCUAACUUCGUGCCAGCAGCCGCGGUAAUACGAAGGGGGCUAGCGUUGUUCGGAUUUACUGGGCGUAAAGCGCACGUAGGCGGACUAUUAAGUCAGGGGUGAAAUCCCGGGGCUCAACCCCGGAACUGCCUUUGAUUCUGGUAGUCUUGAGUUCGAGAGAGGUGAGUGGAAUUCCGAGUGUAGAGGUGAAAUUCGUAGAUAUUCGGAGGAACACCAGUGGCGAAGGCGGCUCACUGGCUCGAUACUGACGCUGAGGUGUGAAAGCGUGGGGAGCAAACAGG
rnacentral:rRNA from 1 species